AAUUCAAGAAACGAAUGAAACAAAAGCGCACACAUUGUGGAGUGCGAGCGACACAUCUAAUCUUUGUUCUUCAAGAAUCGAAUGAAACAAAAUCCUCUGUGUGUGGAUGUUCGGUGGUUCGCUCAAUCAUCUUUAUUAUUUGCAACAUCAACAAACAACAUUCAAUUUUCUGCUUGAAAAAAGGCCCCAGAAAUUGGAGUGCUUUCUCCAGAUCUUGUAGCAUACCUUGACAUCUCACCAGAUAAAGCUGCAGAAAGAGGAGGGUAUGAUGAUGAAAGAUAUGAAAAGCUUGAGUUUCAGAAGAAGGUUGCCGAACAUUACAAUGUCCUUCAUGAUGCCUCCUGGAAGGUAAUGAACUGUUUUUCUGGCCUCAAGAACAUUACAAAACCCAUUUUUUUCAUUUUUUAUUUUGUCAAGAACAUUCAAUCUUCUGCUUGAAAAAGAGGUACAACUUUACCCAUUUUUUUCGUUCUGGAUCAUUGAAGAACAAAAAGAACCUUAAUUAAAGUGUUCUGUCGCAAGAUCAUGUUUGGUACCAAUAUUUUAAAACAACAGUUUUUGGAAUUUUCAUUCCAACAUAUUUGCCCUAUCUGGUUUAUAUUCAAUUCGUGUUGGGAAUGAUGACGGACUUCGAUAAAAACUUUUAAUCUUCUGCUUCGAUAAAAAGUGAUUGGAUUCUUGAUGCCCAAAACAUGCUGGAUAAAUUACUUAAUGACCUUAGUCCCUGAAUGCAAAAGCUAGUUGUUGCCUUAAUUGCUACUCAAACAAUUGUCUCUAUCGAGUGUCCGCUUUUCUAUUAAAAAAAUAUGAAUUUUUAUUCAUAAUUAUGCAUGAAUGGGUAUAUAGUCUGCUUUGAUGACCCUUAGUCCCUAAAUUCAAUUCUACAACUGCAAUUAGAAGUGAUUUUGCAUUAUGAACAUAAUGGCCCUUGUCCCAAAUGUUUCAUAAGUUUUGUAAGGGAUGGAUGCCUCAAUGACCUUUGAGAAAAGUGCCUUAUGAAUUCUUUAUUCAUAAUGGAAAAGUUGGAUUGUGACUUUCAAAGGAAAGAAAUUUAAUAUGAAAGUUUAUUCAAAAUGUGGGUGGUGUCUAUUUUUUUUACCCUAAUUGUGAAAGUAAAUAGCCAAGCUACAUGAAGGUGUAGCCCUUAUUUAGAAAUAAAGGAACAAAUGAAGCAGAAACCACAAUGUCAGCAAAAGAGUACGCUUUGGAUGCUAAGAAGUCGAAGGGGAACAAUGAUCACAUUACCGGUAUGUGUUAUAUAUUUAAAUCGAGAACUUCUUUUUCUGUUGUUUAUAGUACAUCACAUUACUUCAUUUCCUCAAAAUGGGUUAAAAGGCUUAAUUUAGAAUUAGACCCUUUACCUACUCCAAUGGUAGUAACAGCUGCAACUGACGGUAGAAUAUAGACUGGAUGGGUAUAUGAAAAUUGUCCCAUUACAGUUUCCGAUCGAACCUUUUUAGUGGACUUGAUUUGUGUACAUUUGAAGAGUAUGGAUGUCAUAUUAGGUAUGGAUUGGCUUUCAGCCAAUUCGGUAUAUCUUGGAUGCAAAAAGAAAAUUGUUUUCAUACCACCCGGAAACAUGGCAGAAGGAGAAGUCAUAUCUGCAUCACUCGAUAAUUCUUGAAAAAAUUGUGUUUGAUUUAUCUAAUAAAUUGAAACAAUGAACAUUCAUUGUGUGCCGGAAUCUUUUUUCAUUAUCUGAAAAAGGGGUGGAGUAUAUUGCCAUAGUAACCCUAAAUUUGACCAUUGGAAUCGAUGAAUAUACUAUGUUUUAUAAAUUUUGUAACACAUGGAUCAUAGAUGCCUCAAUGACUAUAGAGUAAAAUGUUGGAUGAACUUA